CCUACGGGAGGCAGCAGUGGGGAAUUUUGGACAAUGGGCGCAAGCCUGAUCCAGCCAUGCCGCGUGUGGGAAGAAGGCCUUCGGGUUGUAAACCACUUUUGUCAGGGAAGAAACGGUCUGAACUAAUACUUUGGACUAAUGACGGUACCUGAAGAAUAAGCACCGGCUAACUACGUGCCAGCAGCCGCGGUAAUACGUAGGGUGCAAGCGUUAAUCGGAAUUACUGGGCGUAAAGCGUGCGCAGGCGGCUUUGCAAGACAGAUGUGAAAUCCCCGGGCUCAACCUGGGAACUGCAUUUGUGACUGCAUGGCUAGAGUACGGUAGAGGGGGAUGGAAUUCCGCGUGUAGCAGUGAAAUGCGUAGAUAUGCGGAGGAACACCGAUGGCGAAGGCAAUCCCCUGGACCUGUACUGACGCUCAUGCACGAAAGCGUGGGGAGCAAACAGGAUUAGAUACCCUGGUAGUCCACGCCCUAAACGAUGUCAACUGGUUNUUGGGGGGUUUCUUCGUCAGUAACGAAGCUAACGCGUGAAGUUGACCGCCUGGGGAGUACGGCCGCAAGGUUGAAACUCAAAUGAAAUUGACGG
rnacentral:rRNA from 1 species